rnacentral:rRNA from 1 species
AUACGGAGGUUGCAAGCGUUAUUCGGAAUCACUGGGCGUAAAGGACGCGUAGGCGGGUUGGCAAGUCAGAUGUGAAAUCCUACAGCUUAACUGUAGAACUGCAUUUGAAACUGCUAACCUAGAGUAUGGGAGGGGGAGAUGGAAUUAGUGGUGCAGGGGUAAAAUCCGUAGAUAUCACUAGGAAUACCGAAAGCGAAGGCGAUCUCCUGGAACAUAACUGACGCUAAGGCGUGAAAGCGUGGGGAGCAAACAGGAUUAGAAACCCUAGUAGUCC